rnacentral:rRNA from 1 species
AGUGAACGCUGGCGGUAGGCCUAACACAUGCAAGUCGAACGGCAGCACAGUAAGAGCUUGCUCUUACGGGUGGCGAGUGGCGGACGGGUGAGGAAUACAUCGGAAUCUACUUUUUCGUGGGGGAUAACGUAGGGAAACUUACGCUAAUACCGCAUACGACCUACGGGUGAAAGCAGGGGAUCUUCGGACCUUGCGCGAUUGAAUGAGCCGAUGUCGGAUUAGCUAGUUGGCGGGGUAAAGGCCCACCAAGGCGACGAUCCGUAGCUGGUCUGAGAGGAUGAGCGUGCACGCGGGAAAUCAGACACGGUGCAGACACCCACGGGAGGCAGCAGGGGGGAGGAUGUGACAAUGGGAGCAAGCCUGAGCCAGUGAUAACGAGAAGGAGAAGAAGGCCUGUGGGUCGGAAAUACCCUGUGGUGGGAAAGAAAAGCAGCAGGUGAAUAACCCGCUGUUCUGACGGCACACAAAGAAGAAGCACCGGCGAACUUCGU